AUUAUUAAAUAUUUGUUCCCAAUUUAGAUACUUUUAGACUAAUCAAGUCACCCCUUAACUUUCACUUUGCUCAGCUAAAUAGGUUGAGUUCCUUGAGACUCACUAUAGGCAUGUUUUCAAUCCUUAGUUGUCAAAUGCAGAAAUAAAGUAACCUUUCUACUCUUGCUCAAGAUUCCCAUGUUUAUGCACCCCAGGAACACAUUAGCCCUUUGGCCACAGCAUCACACUGCGAGCUCGUGUUCAGCUGAUUAUUCACAGUGACCCCCAUAUUCUUUUUCAGAGUCUGUUUUUCCCAGGAUAAAGUCCCCCAUCCUGCAAGGAUCGAUCACAUUCUUUGUUCAUAGAUGGAUACAUUUACAUUUAGCCAUAUUAAAAACCUAGUUUGCUUGCACCCACUUUGCCAAGUAAUCUAGAUCACUCUGAAUCCAUGACCUCUUUAUUCACAACUCCCCCAAUUUUUGGGUCAUCUGCAAACUUUGUCAGUAAUGAUUUUAAUAUUUCCUUUCAGGUCAUUGAUACAGAUAUUAAAUAGCUCUCCAUGGGCUAUGAGCAGUGUUACAAGUGCCAACGGUUACAAGUUACCAUACAACUCUUUCUAAACAAAGACAUUUAUUCUUAAGGUAAAAGCAUUACAGAGAAAAACAGAUUUAAGCAUACUGUGAACAGAUCAGGAGGUGCCCAUCCAUCUUAUGGGGUCCUAGCUGGCCAAAAUCUUUCCAACCCUUCUGCAAGAGUUGCGGCCCCCCUUUGGGCAGAAGGGCCUCUCUAUUUGCUAACAGAAAGUCAGCCCUAAGUCAGUUUAAGCUUUUUAUAUCAAAAGUGUUUUCUUUGUCUGUUGGUCUCUGGACAACCCAGUUUGAACCAGUGGGUAUACCUCUCUGGAUGUGUUUACAACUUAAGUGAUUCAACUUAGUAACCUCUGUUUUUGGUUCCUGGAGGUACUAUGGUAACCCUCCAUCAAAAGUUGCAUAAAAUCCCUGAUCCACAGCAAUUGAUUAGCUUAAUACAAUACUGUCCUCAAAUAUAUUGCAUGGGAUUACAAUCUCCCCCAGGCCCUUGAAAGUGAACUGGGGAUCUUGUGAAUCUAGAGACUGGAGAACUACCUGAGGGAGAUCCAGCCAGUAGACCUAGGACUGCUAUGCCUAAAGUCUCUGGAAACAGAGAGUUGUGUGCACGGCAAAGAAUGUAGACGCUGCCAUAAGACCCAGCAGCUCAAGGCAGGAUCUUAGGUGCAUCAGGGGUUGGGACCAUAGGUGGGACUAGAGGUCAUGCACCAUCCAGAACCUGUCAAGUGGUAGUUAGGCAGUUACUCCAUGGAGAGGCUAUAUGGUCCCAAUGAAUUAUGUGCCAUACAGUUGUUAAUGUGGAUUUCUUCUCAUUCCCCAGCAGACCUAGAUGUGCAAACAGCUGGAGAAUGGACAGGAUGUUGACUCAGACUGAGAUUUAGUGGCCAUGACCAGCCACUUGCUUAAGCACAAGAUCAUCUGGAUGUCAGUCCUUCCAACAUCUCUUCAUGUAUCACAGGCUGCAGAGAAGAAACUGGGUGUCGCAGAGCGGUUCAACCCUUUAUACCCUUGCGAGCACAUGAGAGGAAGAGCACUUGGACUGCCCCAAAAGACGCUCCUGACUAGAAAAUUCUCCAGUGUGAGCACACCAAAUGAGUAAUCACCAACUGUGGAAUAUCAGUACAGCCUAACACUCAAAGAACUGGCUUGUCCUAGUUGCUGUUCAGUCCUAGAUGUCACGAGGUCCUGUGUGCGCCUACCCGAGAACAUCCUGCCAUCUCACUAGCCAAGGACAGAGAAGCUUUUUUUGAAGCCAAGAUCUUCCACCAUCUGGAAAAAAAAAAUCUGUACGGACAUAAAACUCUUCUGCUGCCAAACCACAAAGUGCAGGGUAUGUUCAGCACAGCACUUGCUAUCCCAUUUGGCUUUAGCAAUUCUAGAAUGUAUGGUAAUGAGAUAUCACAGAGUUUAAUUAGGGUAAAAAGUAAUAUCGGGUUUUAUAAUUAACUCGAGAUGAAGUUGCCUGCUGUUUUUGCAUAUAUUCUGCUUUUAAUCCAAAAAAUUAAAUCAGAUUUUUUUUAUUUUUAAAAAAGGCUUAUGACAAAGCAGCAUGAGAGAUUUGAAGAGACAGUUACCUUACUUAUUGGUGCAGAUCAGUAUGACAAUUCACCCAACAUCAUUUGUAACCUAGGAAGCUGAUAUUUAAGGAAAAACUUUUUUCGGAAAAAAAAAAACAAACAAAACA